rnacentral:rRNA from 1 species
AGUGAACGCUGGCGGUAGGCCUAACACAUGCAAGUCGAACGGCAGCACAGUAAGAGCUUGCUCUUACGGGUGGCGAGUGGCGGACGGGUGAGGAAUACAUCGGAAUCUACUUUUUCGUGGGGGAUAACGUAGGGAAACUUACGCUAAUACCGCAUACGACCUACGGGUGAAAGCAGGGGAUCUUCGGACCUUGCGCGAUUGAAUGAGCCGAUGUCGGAUUAGCUAGUUGGCGGGGUAAAGGCCCACCAAGGCGACGAUCCGUAGCUGGUCUGAGAGGAUGAUCAGCCACACUGGAACUGAGACACGGUCCAGACUCCUACGGGAGGCAGCAGUGGGGAAUAUUGGACAAUGGGCGCAAGCUUGAUCCAGCCAUACCGCGUGGGUGAAGAAGGCCUUCGGGUCGUAAAGCCCUUUUGUUGGGAAAGAAAAGCAGUAGGUGAAUCCCCCGCUGUUCUGACGGUACCCAAAGAAUAAGCACCGGCUAACUUCGUG